rnacentral:rRNA from 1 species
CAGCACCUCAAGUGGUCAGGAUGAUUGUUGGGCCUAAAGCAUCCGUAGCCGGCUCUGUAAGUUUUCGGUUAAAUCUGUAUGCUCAACAUACAGGCUGCCGGGAAUACUGCAGAGCUAGGGAGUGGGAGAGGUAGACGGUACUCGGUAGGAAGGGGUAAAAUCCUUUGAUCUAUUGAUGACCACCUGUGGCGAAGGCGGUCUACCAGAACACGUCCGACGGUGAGGGAUGAAAGCUGGGGGAGCAAACCGGAUUAGAUACCCGAGUAGUCC